rnacentral:rRNA from 1 species
UACGGGGGGUGCGAGCGUUGUCCGGAAUCACUGGGCGUAAAGGGCGCGUAGGUGGUUUGAUAAGGGUGUGGUGAAAGCCCGGGGCUCAACCCCGGGUCGGCCGUGCCGACUGUUGAACUAGAGGGCUGUAGAGGCAGACGGAAUUCCGGGUGUAGCGGUGGAAUGCGUAGAGAUCCGGAGGAACACCUGAGGCGAAGGCGGGUUGCUGGGCUGACACUGACGCUGAUGCGCGAAAGCCAGGGUAGCAAACGGG